CUCUCCGUCUGUCUAUCUCUGCGGAUCUGACACGCGGAGCUGCCUGUUAGGGAAGCAUACACAUGUUCUGCAUUCUGACAGCAAAUUUUAUAUUCUCUGUGUGGGCUGUAUGGGAAUUAAAAGACAAUCAUGAAGUUACGUGUAUGGACAGUGCGCACUUAAAACUAACGUUAGCCUUGGCCACUCUGAACUGCGCAUCACUCGAUCCGAUGGGAGCUUGUUGGCAGCGCUGCUCAUUUGGAGAUUACUGCUGACUGCACAAACAUGGUGGCCUUCCCAGGUUACCCUGGGUACCACUUCAGAGCUCCAAGCUCAGGCCCACCCAUCUCUGACACUGGGACCCUUCUCCAUCACCAGGAUCCAUGGUGGAUGUGUGUCUAGGCGGAAAAUCACGUGUCACACUUCCUUAUCAACAUACAACGUUUACAUACCACUGUAUUAUAUUAUUAUAUUAUAUUAUAUUAUUAUAUGUAAUGUAUUGUAUUAUAUUAUUAAAGUAGCCUAGAAUAAGCAAAUAUUUAAUACAUUGUACCACAUCCAUGCCACAUAAGUAGGCCUUUUAUAAGCUGACUGAUCACAUUUGGUUUUAUGUUUAGGCUACAUAUUGUAUGUCAUGCUUAUUGUUAAUAAAUUAGUGUAUUAUACUGUAUGAUUAGAUGCUGCUGUGUAUCAUAUGUAUCAUAUGGCGAUCAUCAGGACACAAUAGCAUGCGUUCAUAAGUUUGAC